CUUCUCUGCUGGAGUUUCAUAGCAAGCCUAGGAUGCGGGUGUAUCAGGAAAGCAGUUGGCAUUAUUAAAAUUAUCAUAAAGAAUUAAGAUACCCAUAUGAUUUUCCAAAAAUAGGCUACAUGCCCUCUCUACAAGAACUUUUGGGAAGAAGAACGGGAAAUCUUUAGUGGCAGGAAGGAAAUACUGAAUCUAAGUCUUGAAACAAUAGGAAAGCUCUACAGGACUGAAAGAAAGCUAAUGGGUCAACACUUCAAAGAUGCAAGCAGAGUGAGCCAUGUAACUACAGCCAUAACCUACCUAUGAUCAUUGGAGUAUACUGGAAGAUUUGAUGCAGGAUUCAGAAACUGAAGGAUCCAAAACAUAAUACAGAAAAUGUUUACUGUAAACAUCAUUGUCUAACAAUAGCUAAAUUUCUAUAAUCUUUCAUCAGAUAACACCAUUGAUAGCUCUAAUGCAAUUCCUUGUGAUACAUACAGACAAGUAAUGAUAAAACAUUUCAUAGACACAAAGUCUAGAAGCAAUUUUAUAUGCUACUGAUAUCUUCAUCUAAUUUUUUUGUAUUUUGCUUUUAGAAGGAGCCUUGCUCAGUUUUGAAAGUAACUGAAGUUUUUGGCUUUUUUCUUAGAAGGAUGUCCUAAACUAACACUAAAUCUAAGUAUUUUCUGGAUAGAAGUAAUUAUAAAAAUACAGCUUUUUUUUUUCCUUUUUAAAUUAGUCUUAUUAGGUAGAUUGGCUUGGACAUUUUCUUCUUUGGAUUUAGUAUUAAUCUCUUGUAGAGUAUACAAAACUGAUCUCUUUGAAAAAUCGCUUCAUUCACAGUCUUCUAGAAACUUCUUAUAUAGUGCAGGUAUACAGACAGCUUUAGCAACCUCUUUCUGAUCACUUUCUACUGAGAAUUUGUCUUCAUAUCAUGCAUGAGUGAGCGUGCGUGCACACAUUCUGUGUGGUAUGCAUUAGUGGGUUUUUAAGAUCUACAAAUUACCCCUUACAUGGACUUGCACUAACACUCUUUAAUUUCAGAAUAUUACUCAAUCCUCCAAGAUCAUGAAAAACUUUCCAGAACCUAUAUUAUCUUUUAUCUUAACAGAAACUCACAUCACUAUAUAAUUAGAAUACUUCAUUACCAAAAUAUUUUGUGAGCUAUUUAUAAAAAUUCACCUGAAAGUGAUCGUAGAUAAAUUUUAAAGGAUUUGCGGUAACAAAUUCCAGUCUGAUAGUUCCCUUUCAGAACAAUUUUUUUUCUGCUAUCUUUCCUUCAGCUAAUUAUACAUUCUCAAAUGCAAUUCCAAAUCUCUUGUUCAUCAGCUUCAAUAAUAAUUUCCCACAUGACACUAAACUGAAAUGUUUUACUGAAAUUGGGUAGAUUGUAUGUAUUAAAGUUCUUUAGACUAAAGACAGCUUUCAGAUUACUCUGGUAGAACAUACUUUUGGAGUACCAAUAGAAAAACAUUUCUAAUUUAUCUUCCUAUUUAAUUACUAUUUUCUGUAAAACAUUUUAUAAUAUCUAGGUCAAGUAGAGUCCCCCAGGAUUUUUAUUCCUCUUCACAUAAUUACAGUAUUUAUUAUUUUUCCGUGUAAUAAUAUUGCCAUGAAUUUCAACAUUUAAAAGCCUUUGUCACUGAGUUGAAGUCCUCAUAUAAAUGUUACACUGAUGUGCUGAGAUGAAAAAAAUAUACAAAAAUCCUAAAUAGUGUUCAUUAAACUUAAAUUUCAGUUCUAACUCACCUAAAGUUAUUUUAUUCUCUGAAACUUAAUGUUAUUACAUGCUUUGUUUUUGAUCCAAUCUUACUAAGAACUGCAGCAAAAUAGAGUCAAAUCUAUUUUAAAUAUAAUUUCUACCCAUAUGUCUGUCUUUGUGGUUUUUGUUAUGUUUUAAAUCAAAGAACUUUUGAUAUUCUGUUCAUAUUUACUUGAGAUGACUGAAUUUGUUUGCCACUCAGUAAUUAUCAAAAUUAUUUACUUUGACAGUACAAACUUUUUCAACUACUUCUUGGCCUUCUGAGUAUACUCAAUUUACAGUUUAUUAUUCCUGUUAGAUUUGCAGCCCUUUACAAACUACAUUAGUGAAAGUAUUUAAGUAAUCCCUUAGGA